UACGAAGGUCCCAAGCGUUAUCCGGAUUUAUUGGGUUUAAAGGGUGCGUAGGCGGCCAACUAAGUCAGACGUGAAAUCCCUCGGCUUAACCGGGGAACUGCGUCUGAUACUGGAUGGCUUGAGGUUGGGAGAGGGAUGCGGAAUUCCAGGUGUAGCGGUGAAAUGCGUAGAUAUCUGGAGGAACACCGGUGGCGAAGGCGGCAUCCUGGACCAAUUCUGACGCUGAGGAGCGAAAGCCAGGGGAGCAAACGGG
rnacentral:rRNA from 1 species